rnacentral:rRNA from 1 species
GAUGAACGCCGGCGGUGUGCCUAAUACAUGCAAGUCGUACGCACGUGGCCCGAACUAGGAUUGAUGGUGCUUGCACCUGAUUGACGAUGGAUCACCAGUGAGUGGCGGACGGGUGAGUAACACGUAGGUAACCUGCCCCGGAGCGGGGGAUAACAUUUGGAAACAGAUGCUAAUACCGCAUAACGCUUGAGGAUGGCAUCAUCUUCAAGCCAAAGGAGCAAUCCGCUGUAAGAUGGCUUCGCGUCCGAUUAGACAGUUGGCGGGGUAACGGCCCACCAAAUCUACGAUCGGUAGCCGGACUGAGAGGUUGAACGGCCACAUUGGGACUGAGACACGGCCCAG